UUCCAAAAUGGUGUCUUUUAGCAGCAGGUAGGAACUGUGGGGUUCUGCUGGGCUAUCCAGGGGAAACUUAAAACAUCUGGGAAUUAUUCUCCUAAUGUAGAGGCAGUGAAAGAAUUGCCUGUGGAUGGUGGAGAGAGGGUACCAGUUUCAAUGACAGCCUGGUGACAAAAGCAAAAAGCUGCUGAACCUGGGAGAGUUGAAGUGCACAGUCCACUAUGUCAUCCAUCUGAACAUCUCUAUCUGAAUUCUAAUUAGUGUACAUGGUUCUGUUCAGCUGCCUGGGAUGGCUAUUGGGAUGGCACCCUAAAAAUACAUACAAUAGAUUUUAAAGGGAAAACUUCAUGGCAGCCACUCCUAAUCCUGGCAUGUUGAUUACCAAAGGGACGCCAUGAGAAGAAGGGUUAUAUAUGUGACUGCAUUCUUUGUACAAUACUAAAAUGUUCUUGAUAAUAUAUAUUAACUUUGACACACUAAAAUAAAAAUUCCUCCCCCUGA